rnacentral:rRNA from 1 species
AAUGAACGCUGGCGGCAGGCCUAACACAUGCAAGUCGAACGGAUCCUUCGGGUUUAGUGGCGGACGGGUGAGAAACGCGUGGGAACAUACCCUUUGGUACGGAAUAGCCUCGGGAAACUGGGAGUAAUACCGUAUGUGGUCGAGAGACGAAAGAUUUAUCGCCAAAGGAUUGGCCCGCGUUGGAUUAGGUAGUUGGUGGGGUAAUGGCCUACCAAGCCGACGAUCCAUAGCUGGUUUGAGAGGAUGAUCAGCCACACUGGGACUGAGACACGGCCCAGACUCCUACGGGAGGCAGCAGUGGGGAAUCUUAGACAAUGGGGGAAACCCUGAUCUAGCCAUGCCGCGUGAUCGAUGAAGGCCUUAGGGUUGUAAAGAUCUUUCAGGUGGGAAGAUAAUGACUGUACCACCAGAAGAAGCCCCGGCUAACUCCGUGCCAGCAGCCGCCGUAA